rnacentral:rRNA from 1 species
AACGCGAAGAACCUUACCUGGCCUUGACAUCUACGGAACCUUGCAGAGAUGCAGGGGUGCCUUCGGGAACCGUAAGACAGGUGCUGCAUGGCUGUCGUCAGCUCGUGUCGUGAGAUGUUGGGUUAAGUCCCGCAACGAGCGCAACCCUUGUCCUUAGUUGCCAUCAUUAAGUUGGGAACUCUAAGGAGACCGCCGGUGACAAACCGGAGGAAGGUGGGGAUGACGUCAAGUCAUCAUGGCCUUUAUGGCCAGGGCUACACACGUGCUACAAUGGCAGGUACAGAGGGAAGCCAACGCGCGAGCGGGAGCCAAUCCCAGAAAGCCUGUCGUAGUCCGGAUCGGAGUCUGCAACUCGACUCCGUGAAGUCGGAAUCGCUAGUAAUCGCAGAUCAGCAUUGCUGCGGUGAAUACGUUCCCGGGCCUUGUA